rnacentral:rRNA from 1 species
GACGAACGCUGGCGGCGUGCCUAAUACAUGCAAGUAGAACGCACAGUUUAUACCGUAGCUUGCUACACCAUAAACUGUGAGUUGCGAACGGGUGAGUAACGCGUAGGUAACCUGCCUGGUAGCGGGGGAUAACUAUUGGAAACGAUAGCUAAUACCGCAUAGUAUUAAUUAUUGCAUGAUAAUUGAUUGAAAGAUGCAAUUGCAUCACUACCAGAUGGACCUGCGUUGUAUUAGCUAGUAGGUGAGGUAACGGCUCACCUAGGCGACGAUACAUAGCCGAACUGAGAGGGUGAUCGGCCACACUGGGACUGAGACACGGCCCAGACUCCUACGGGAGGCAGCAGUAGGGAAUCUUCGGCAAUGGACGAAAGUCUGACCGAGCAACGCCGCGUGAGUGAAGAAGGUUUUCGGAUCGUAAAGCUCUGUUGUAAGAGAAGAACGGGUGUGAGAGUGGAAAGUUCACACUGUGACGGUAUCUUACCAGAAAGGGACGGCUAACUACGUG